AGCCUGCAGUGUCAGAGCUGCACCAGCUCCAGCACUAAGCCUGGGCUUGGUGCCUCCACUAUACAACUGUACAAAUAUCAGCUCUGUAGCUCAUAUUAACAUGGAAACACUUCCCUAAUGACCCACUCAGGGAAGGGCUUUUUGUGUUCACAAAGAGUAUCUUAAUUGCGUUGCAGUUUUGCUGACAUUUGGUGUUGUUCGAAGCACUUUAAUAAGAUUUUCAGAAGUAUCAAACGACUUAAAAUUACAAGUAUCACUAAGCACUCUGCUACCUCCCAGUCAGUUCCUGGCACACCCACACAGCAGUUGCUGCUCACUACAGCCAACUCCCACGCUGAGUUUGGGACUUGGGGUCUCUCACACAGAUCUUAAGACCCAAGCGAGGCAGGUGCAUGAAAAGCUACUUAGAGCUAAUUAACAGUAAAUGCUAAAAGCAGUGGUGUUUUGGGCCUCCCCCUUCCUCAAGGUUGGGCUCCUGAGCCAGCUGGUGGGCUGGCAGCUCUCCUCGUGAGGAGCAGAAGCCCAGUUCUGCUGUUGCAGGAAAGACUGAGUGAGUGUGAAGCCAUCAGCCGUGCACCUAAACUUCGUGAACUCGAUCAUCUGGAUGCCCAGUUUAAAGCUCUUAAGAGCCUGUCUUGCUCCCAGUAGUGCUUUCUCCAGUGGGACUGAAGGUGAAGGGCUGAUCUCCCAUUUUCCUAAGCUGAAACAACUAUACAGAUUUCCAGCUGAAAACUACAUACUGCAGAAAGCAUCAUGCUGUAUAGAACAGCUGCUCCCCAGCUCCAUCCUUUCUCUCCAUAGGUCCUCUCUCCUCAAAAUGGCCAUUGCUUGAGGUGAGCAGCGUAUA